UACGAAGGGGGCUAGCGUUGUUCGGAUUUACUGGGCGUAAAGCGCACGUAGGCGGAUCGUUAAGUCGGGGGUGAAAUCCUGGAGCUCAACUCCAGAACUGCCUUCGAUACUGGCGAUCUUGAGUCCGGAAGAGGUGAGUGGAACUCCUAGUGUAGAGGUGGAAUUCGUAGAUAUUAGGAAGAACACCAGUGGCGAAGGCGGCUCACUGGUCCGGGUACUG
rnacentral:rRNA from 1 species